UUCCGGUUGAUCCUGCCAGAGGUCACUGCUAUUGGGAUUCGACUAAGCCAUGCGAGUCGUGAGGGUUCGGCCCUCGGCAGACGGCUCAGUAACACGUAGAUAAUUUGCCCUUAGGUGGAGGAUACCCUCGGGAAACUGAGAAUAAUACUCCAUAGAUCUAGACUGCUGGAAUGCUUUUAGAUUGAAAGAUUUAUCGCCUAAGGAUAAGUCUGCGGACUAUCAGGUUGUAGUCAGGGUAACUACCUGACUAGCCUACGACGGAUACGGGUUGUGAGAGCACUAGCCCGGAGAUGAUAUCUGAGACACGAUAUCAGGCCCUACGGGGCGCAGCAGGCGCGAAAACUUCGCAC
rnacentral:rRNA from 1 species